GAUGAAGAACGCAGCGAAAUGCGAUAAGUAAUGUGAAUUGCAGAAUUCCGUGAAUCAUCGAAUCUUUGAACGCACAUUGCGCCCCCUGGCAUUCCGGGGGGCAUGCCUGUCCGAGCGUCAUUUCUGCCCUCCAGACCGGCUGGGUGUUGGGCGCUGUCCCCCCGGGGACACGCCCCAAAGGCAGUGGCGGCGCCGCGUCGGGUCCUCGAGCGUAUGGGGCUUUGUCACCCGCUCGGGACGGACUCGUCGGCGCUGGUCUUCCUCCAGGCGACCCUUCGGGGCUCGUCUUCCUUCGGUUGACCUCGGAUCAGGUAGGGUUACCCGCUGAACUUAAGCAUAUCAAUAAGCGGAGGA
rnacentral:misc_RNA from 1 species